AUAAAAGCUCAGUUCUUUCUUGCCCUCUCUCAGACCUUUUUGUACAGGCCACUCGCUCUGGGAGUUGUCCAUGCUAUAUGAUAAGUCCAAAAUGCCCCCCUCUUAGGAACGAGCUCUGGAUGUUCAACAACUUUUACAUGGUUUCGCUUUACUCACGGCCCCCGUCUUCCCCGCACAGAUGUUGGAUACAUUACGAAACCUAUGAACAAUAAAGAAUGGCUUAAUGUUCUAAGGCUGCAAACAAAAGAAUGUUCUAAUGGCAGCAGCUUAUAUAUAUAUAAAAAAAGAUAUUUGGACAGGUUUAGGAUUCAAUUACUGUGUGAUUGAGUGUUGACAUUUUUGAGGCUACAUGACAGGAAAUUCAUUAGAAGCAGAGCAGCUUGGGAAGGAUUGCGGGCUGCCGUUAAAGGAAAUGGGUGAUUGCGAAAAGAAUGCUGGCGGAGGUAGAGAGGGCGCUGGAACAGAUGUUCAUGAAAAGCCGAUUGUAUUCCUUCUGAUGGUCGGGUGGCUGAAGUGGAGGUAGGCAGUGGAACAGAUGAAAGAGAAGCUGAAGAAUAAGAGUGUGGAACUCGCUCUCGUUGCCCGCAGUGAGGCAGAGGCCAGAGAGAGAUGCAGAUGGGCGCAUCCUCAGUGAUCGAAGGCUGAUGGGUUUGUCAACAGGUAAUCCAUCCAUUUAUGAGAAGGAUUGAUGGAUCUGAGGCAAACGCAACUGAGGUAAAGCCCACAUCUAUCUUGGCUAAGGGAUGUGGUCCACCGACAGGCUGGGAGGAGGAAUUACACGCACGAGCACGACGGCCCCUCAUAAAUCACUGCCGCCCAGGGAAAGUGUCACGUUCCAGCGCUUGGUGGGAAUUGGGCAGAGGAAACAGGAAGGGGAGCCGAUGACAACAUCUGGUUGUGAUUUCAGAGAUGCGGGCAUGCUUGGGACUUUUCCAGACCACAAAGUAAUCAUCUUUUUGUCAGCACGGCUAUCUCUUACCUUCUGCAGCGUUUGAAUGAAUUAUUGAAAUCCUGACCUUGCAGCAGAAGCUGUCACAAAGGUGUCCAGCGCUCGGCCCUGUAGUGAGGGCUUGCUGUGGGUGGCAUGUGUGUGUGGGUGUAACUGGCUUGCUACCGUGACGACGGAGGCCCAGGAGACCCUGCCCAUUCCACAACGUGAUUGGUCGGUUUAUGAAGUGGCAUCUGCCGGCCAGGGGGCCAUAUGGACGAGCUGACAUUUAGCGGCACUCUCUGUGCCGUACAGGGCCGUACGGCUGAAAGAGAGGACUCAUGCUGUAACCUUUACACACAUGCGCACACACAAGCGAGCCAUAGUCCUAAAGCCCUGCUGUGACAAGCGCAGGCCCAUGCUGGUGCUAUGACACAUGUGCAUCAAACAGAAGAACAGGCAUUAGAUCAGAAGGGCAGACCACAUGUAUUAAAGAAUCGCCCCCUUUGCAGCUUUUCUAACACACGUCACUGAGGACGCAGGGAAAAGUGCAGCAUACGCGAGCCUCUCUUUCACCCCGAUGUGAGCUCAGCUGUGUGUCGCACUGACAUCACCCUGUCCCACACAAACUGAUGUCAGAUUCCACACUGAGGUUUCUUCAACUCUCUGGGACGGCUGUCGAACUGCUGGAAACCGCUAAUGGCAGAUCUCCGGUUUCAGUUCAUGUCUUUCACAACAUCACAAAGUCUGGGAAAAUUGAUCUGUUCUUGAGAGGAUUAACUUCAUGAACUCAUCAGCAAUUUAGGGUUUACCAUGUCACGUUAGCAAUUCCGAGAUUUUAAGUUAUAUUUUCACUGUAAUGUCCACCUUUCAAAGUGAAGCAUAAUUUCUGCACCACUAAUGUUGUGAAAUGCAACAGCAAAAAAUAAUAGCUUGCUACUUAUUUAUUUUGCCAUGUCAAGUUACUGAUUCAGAAAUUUUAAAUUAUAUCUUCACUGUAAUAUCAACCUUUCAAAGUGAAG
ensembl:lncRNA